rnacentral:rRNA from 1 species
UGCAGUCGAGCGGAACGAUCCUAGCUUGCUAGGAGGCGUCGAGCGGCGGACGGGUGAGUAAUGCAUAGGAAUCUGCCCGGUAGUGGGGGAUAACUUGAGGAAACUCAGGCUAAUACCGCAUACGUCCUACGGGGGAAAGCAGGGGCUCUUCGGACCUUGCGCUAUCGGAUGAGCUUAUGUCGGAUUAGCUGGUUGGUGAGGUAACGGCUCACCAAGGCGACGAUCCGUAGCUGGUCUGAGAGGAUGAUCAGCCACAUCGGGACUGAGACACGGCCCGAACUCCUACGGGAGGCAGCAGUGGGGAAUAUUGGACAAUGGGGGCAACCCUGAUCCAGCCAUGCCGCGUGUGUGAAGAAGGCCCUCGGGUUGUAAAGCACUUUCAGUGAGGAAGAAGGCUUGUCGGUUAAUACCCGGCAAGGGAGACAUCACUCACAGAAGAAGCACCGGCUAACUCCGUGCCAGCAGCCGCGGUAAUACGGAGGGUGCGAGCGUUAAUCGGAAUUACUGGGCGUAAAGCGUGCGUAGGCGGCUUGAUAAGCCGGUUGUGAAAGCCCCGGGCUCAACCUGGGAACGGCAUCCGGAACUGUCAGGCUAGAGUGCAGGAGAGGAAGGUAGAAUUCCCGGUGUAGCGGUGAAAUGCGUAGAGAUCGGGAGGAAUACCAGUGGCGAAGGCGGCCUUCUGGACUGACACUGACGCUGAGGUACGAAAGCGUGGGUAGCAAACAGGAUUAGAUACCCUGGUAGUCCACGCCGUAACGAUGUCGACUAGCCGUUGGGGUCCUCGAGACCUUUGUGGCGCAGUUAACGCACUAAGUCGACCGCCUGGGGAGUACGGCCGCAAGGUUAAAACUCAAAUGAAUUGACGGGGCCCGCACAAGCGGUGGAGCAUGUGGUUUAAUUCGAUGCAACGCGAGACCUUACCUACCCUGACA